AGAGUUUGAUCCUGGCUCAGGAUGAACGCUGGCGGCGUGCUUAACACAUGCAAGUCGAGCGAAGCAGUUAAGUUGAUUUCUUCGGAUUGAUUCUUAACUGACUGAGCGGCGGACGGGUGAGUAACGCGUGGGUGACCUGCCCAUACCGGGGGAUAACAGCUGGAAACGGCUGCUAAUACCGCAUAAGCGCACAGAGCUGCAUGGCUCGGUGUGAAAAACUCCGGUGGUAUGGGAUGGGCCCGCGUCUGAUUAGGCAGUUGGCGGGGUAACGGCCCACCAAACCGACGAUCAGUAGCCGGCCUGAGAGGGCGACCGGCCACAUUGGGACUGAGACACGGCCCAAACUCCUACGGGAGGCAGCAGUGGGGAAUAUUGCACAAUGGGGGAAACCCUGAUGCAGCGACGCCGCGUGAGCGAAGAAGUAUUUCGGUAUGUAAAGCUCUAUCAGCAGGGAAGAUAAUGACGGUACCUGACUAAGAAGCCCCGGCUAACUACGUGCCAGCAGCCGCGGUAAUACGUAGGGGGCAAGCGUUAUCCGGAUUUACUGGGUGUAAAGGGAGCGUAGACGGCAAGGCAAGUCUGAUGUGAAAACCCAGGGCUUAACCCUGGGACUGCAUUGGAAACUGUCUGGCUCGAGUGCCGGAGAGGUAAGCGGAAUUCCUAGUGUAGCGGUGAAAUGCGUAGAUAUUAGGAGGAACACCAGUGGCGAAGGCGGAUUGCUGGACAGCAACUGACGGUGAGGCGCGAAAGUGUGGGGAGCAAACAGGAUUAGAUACCCUGGUAGUCCACACUGUAAACGAUGAAUACUAGGUGUGCGGGGACUGACCCCCUGCGUGCCGCAGUUAACACAAUAAGUAUUCCACCUGGGGAGUACGAUCGCAAGGUUGAAACUCAAAGGAAUUGACGGGGGCCCGCACAAGCGGUGGAUUAUGUGGUUUAAUUCGAAGCAACGCGAAGAACCUUACCAGGGUUUUACAUCCUGCUAACGAAGUAGAGAUACAUUAGGUGCCCUUCGGGGAAAGCAGAGACAGGUGGUGCAUGGUUGUCGUCAGCUCGUGUCGUGAGAUGUUGGGUUAAGUCCCGCAACGAGCGCAACCCCUAUUGUUAGUUGCUACGCAAGAGCACUCUAGCGAGACUGCCGUUGACAAAACGGAGGAAGGUGGGGACGACGUCAAAUCAUCAUGCCCCUUAUAUCCUGGGCUACACACGUAAUACAAUGGCGAUCAACAGAGGGAUGCAAAGCCGCGAGGCAGAGCGAACCCCUAAAAGCCGUCCCAGUUCGGAUCGUGGGCUGCAACCCGCCCACGUGAAGUCGGAAUCGCUAGUAAUCGCGGAUCAGCAUGCCGCGGUGAAUACGUUCCCGGGCCUUGUACACACCGCCCGUCACACCAUGAGAGUCGGGAACACCCGAAGUCCGUAGCCUAACCUGAAAAGGAGGGCGCGGCCGAAGGUGGGUUCGAUAAUUGGGGUGAAGUCGUAACAAGGUA
rnacentral:rRNA from 1 species